rnacentral:rRNA from 1 species
UUUCGCAAUGCCCGAAAGGGUGACGAAGCGACGCCGCGUGGGUGAGGAAGGCCCUCGGGUUGUAAAGCCCUGUCAGGAGUUAAGAAAUGUAGACUCGCUAAUAUCGGGUCUAUUUGACAAAGGCUCCAAAGGAAGCCACGGCUAACUCUGUGCCAGCAGCCGCGGUAAUACAGAGGUGGCAAGCGUUGUUCGGAAUUAUUGGGCGUAAAGAGCACGUAGGUGGAUUUGUAAGUCAGAUGUGAAAGCCUUCUGUUCAACGGGAAAAUUGCAUCUGAAACUACAGACCUUGAGUAUAGGAGGGGAGAAUGGAACUUCUGGUGGAGCGGUGAAAUGCGUAGAUAUCAGAAGGAACGCCGGCGGCGAAAGCGAUUCUCUGGCCUAUUACUGACACUCAGUGUGCGAAAGCUAGGGGAGCAAACGGGAUUAGAUACCCCGGUAGUCCUAGCCGUAAACGAUGGGCACUAAGUAGAGGGGUUUUA